rnacentral:rRNA from 2 species
UGCAGUCGAGCGGACAGAUGGGAGCUUGCUCCCUGAUGUUAGCGGCGGACGGGUGAGUAACACGUGGGUAACCUGCCUGUAAGACUGGGAUAACUCCGGGAAACCGGGGCUAAUACCGGAUGCUUGUUUGAACCGCAUGGUUCAAACAUAAAAGGUGGCUUCGGCUACCACUUACAGAUGGACCCGCGGCGCAUUAGCUAGUUGGUGAGGUAAUGGCUCACCAAGGCGACGAUGCGUAGCCGACCUGAGAGGGUGAUCGGCCACACUGGGACUGAGACACGGCCCAGACUCCUACGGGAGGCAGCAGUAGGGAAUCUUCCGCAAUGGACGAAAGUCUGACGGAGCAACGCCGCGUGAGUGAUGAAGGUUUUCGGAUCGUAAAGCUCUGUUGUUAGGGAAGAACAAGUACCGUUCGAAUAGGGCGGUACCUUGACGGUACCUAACCAGAAAGCCACGGCUAACUACGUGCCAGCAGCCGCGGUAAUACGUAGGUGGCAAGCGUUGUCCGGAAUUAUUGGGCGUAAAGGGCUCGCAGGCGGUUUCUUAAGUCUGAUGUGAAAGCCCCCGGCUCAACCGGGGAGGGUCAUUGGAAACUGGGGAACUUGAGUGCAGAAGAGGAGAGUGGAAUUCCACGUGUAGCGGUGAAAUGCGUAGAGAUGUGGAGGAACACCAGUGGCGAAGGCGACUCUCUGGUCUGUAACUGACGCUGAGGAGCGAAAGCGUGGGGAGCGAACAGGAUUAGAUACCCUGGUAGUCCACGCCGUAAACGAUGAGUGCUAAGUGUUAGGGGGUUUCCGCCCCUUAGUGCUGCAGCUAACGCAUUAAGCACUCCGCCUGGGGAGUACGGUCGCAAGACUGAAACUCAAAGGAAUUGACGGGGGCCCGCACAAGCGGUGGAGCAUGUGGUUUAAUUCGAAGCAACGCGAAGAACCUUACCAGGUCUUGACAUCCUCUGACAAUCCUAGAGAUAGGACGUCCCCUUCGGGGGCAGAAUGACAGGUGGUGCAUGGUUGUCGUCAGCUCGUGUCCUGAGAUGUUGGGUUAAGUCCCGCAACGAACGCAACCCUUGAUCUUAGUUGCCAGCAUUCAGUUGGGCACUC